rnacentral:lncRNA from 1 species
CUUUACUGAAUCAUCAACGAUGGGCAAAUUCACAGAUGAUUCAGGUAAGAGUUACCAUUGCCCUGUGCUGAAGGGUAAGGAUAAUUAUGAUGUAUGGUCGUAUAUCAUAAAGACUCAUCUGGAGUCAAUUGGGGUAGCUGACAAAGUCUAUCUCACUUCGAGUCCAGUCCUGAUGCUGGAGGAAAAUAAGGAACUCGACUUAAAGAGGGAACGUCUAGCUAAAUCAGCCCUAUGCUCAUUCUUGAGUGAGGAUGAGACAAGGCGCAUAAUGCAUUGUAAUACAGCUAGAGAAAUUUGGCAAUGCAUUGAGAAUGCUUAUGGCGCGAAGACUUCGAACACCAAACUUGAGUUGAUGUCCGAGCUCAGCAGUCUCAAGUGUAAAUCGAUAUCUGACGUUCCGUUAGUAACCAAUAAGGCUCUAGGGUUGAAGAAUCGGUUGACCGCGUUGGGAAGUGCCGUUGAUGAUGAGCUUGUUAUGAGUUCAAUCAUUUCUUCACUCCCAGAGGGGAUGAAAGGCUUCCUGGAUUACUGGCUCAUGCUGGAUGUACAGGAUCAAACUCUCGAUCGGUUUACAAGGAAGCUGAUUGAGAAAGCCAAGUCUAUGGUCACCGAAGGUUCCGCAGGAGAGGAGGAGCGAGCCAUGGCUGCUCAGCAGUCUGGACCUAAGGGUCGUGGCAAACCCAACCGGAAUAAGGGAGGGAACAAACGGCCUCAGGGACAAACGAACCAACCUCCUCGGAACCAGCAAGGAUUCCAAACGAAUCCUAAACAAUUUGUGAAUCAGCAGCAGUCGAAUAAGCCUCAAUCUGGUAACCAGAACUAUCAGAAUAUGGCUAAACCGAUGCUCGCGAUUCAAGGUCCUCCUCAACCUGGUUUCUCUGGUAAGCAGUUAGAUAUGCGGGACAUCAUGUGCAACUACUGUAAAAAGAAGGGACACAUGAAGGGCACCUGUGCACUGCUCAAGCAGAAGCUUGAAAGAGAACAGAACCAGGACUCGUACAACUUCAAUCACUCAGCUAACAUGGCGAUAGUUCAGAAGGACAGCUACACCGAGGACGAAAUAACAGACUCAACAUGGAACAUUGACUCUGGUAGCUCGUCGCAUAUGACUCGCCAUCGUAACUGGAUCGGAAACUAUACGGUUUUCGAGACGCCAGUGAGAGUUCGGAUCGGGGAUAACCGUAUUCUAAACGCACUAGGAUCAGGGACUAUACAGACAACCUUCGGUUGCCUGAAAGACGUCCUAUUCGUACCAAAUCUCGGAUCAAACUUGCUGUCGGUCUCUCG